rnacentral:rRNA from 1 species
UACCUGGUUGAUCCUGCCAGUAGCAUAUGUUCGUAUCAAAGAUUAAGCCAUGCAUGUCUCAGUAUAAAUUUAUUAAUUGUGAAACUGCGAAUGGCUCAUUAAAACAGUUAUAGUUUAUUUGAUGGUCACUAGUUAUUUGGAUAACUGUGCUAAUUGUAGAGCUAAUACAUGCAUAAAAGCCCGACUUCUUGGAAGGGCCGUAUUUAUUAGAUACAGAACCAAUCGCUUCUGCGUUUUUGGUUGACUCAUUGUAAACGAACGGAGCGCAUGCCUUGUGCGGCGCUGAAUCAUUCAAGUUUCUGACCUAUCACGUUUCGAUGGUAGGAUAUGGGCCUACCAUGCGGUUGACGGGUAACGGGGAAUUAGGGUUCGAUUCCGGAGAGGGAGCCUGAGAAACGGCUACCACUUCUAAGGAAGGCAGCAGGCGCGCAAAUUACCCAAUCCUGACUCAGGGAGGUAGUGACAAGAAAUAACAAUAAACCGGCUUAUGCCGGUUUAAUUGGAAUGAGUACAAUUUAAACAUCUUAACGAGGAACAAUUGGAGGGCAAGUCUGGUGCCAGCAGCCGCGGUAAUUCCAGCUCCAAUAGCGUAUACUAAAGUUGUUGCAGUUAAAAAGCUCGUAGUUGGAUUUCUGUGGGGACGGAGCGGCCGGCCGCAACACGCGGGUUCGAGCUAGCGCUUUCCCUACAUCCUGCCGCGAACCGUGCUACCAUUAGUUUGGUGGCGCCGGGGAUCGGCUCGAUUACUUUGAGAAAAAUAGAGUGUUCAAAGCAGGCCACACGCCUUGAAUAAGUUAGCAUGGAAUAAUAACUAAGGACUUCGGUUCUAUUUUGUUGGUGUUCGGGACUGAAGUAAUGAUUGAUAGGGACAGUUGGGGCGGUCUGUAUUCCAAAGCGAGAGGUGAAAUUCUUAGACCUUCGGAAGACAAACAGCUGCGAAAGCGUUCCGCAAGGAUGUUCCCUUUGAUCAAGAACGAAAGUUGGGGGAUCGAAGACGAUCAGAUACCGUCGUAGUCUCAACUAUAAACUAUACCAGCUAGGGAUCGGCCAACGUUAUUCUAUACCGACUUGGUCGGCACCUUAUGAGAAAUCAAAGCAUCUGGGUUCCGGGGGGAGUAUGGUCGCAAGGCUGAAACUUAAAGGAAUUGACGGAAGGGCACCACCAGCCGUGGAGCCUGUGGCUUAAUUUGACUCAACACGGGAAAACUUACCAGGUCCAGACAUAGUAAGGAUUGACAGAUUGAUAGCUCUUUCUUGAUUCUGUGGGUGGUGGUGCAUGGCCGUUCUUAGUUGGUGGAGUGAUUUGUCUGGUUAAUUCCGUUAACGAACGAGACCCCAGCCUGCUAAAUAGCGCGUGUGAGCUUUGCUCGCAGCGAGCUUCUUAGAGGGACUAUGAUGCGCGAUAGCACAUGGAAGUUUGGGGCAAUAACAGGUCUGUGAUGCCCUUAGAUGUUCUGGGCCGCACACGGGCUACACUGGCGCCUGCAACGAGCAUAUCAGCUGGCCCGAGGGGGUCUUGGCUAAUCUUUUGAACCGGCGCCGUGCUUGGGAUUGACCUUUGCAAUUGUUGGUCAUGCAACGAGGAAUGCCUUGUAAACGCGAGUCAUCAGCUCGCAUUGAAUACGUCCCUGCCCUUUGUACACACCGCCCGUCGCUCCUACCGAUGAAUGUUCCGAUGAAAUUUUCGGAGAGUGCCUGUGAACUUGGCUCUGCCUUGCGAACGGGAAGCUCAAAGUCACUUAAAUCUGAACAUUUCGAGGAAGGAGAAGUCGUAACAAGGUUUCCGUAGGUGAACCUGCAGAAGGAUC